UGCCUAAAGGCCCAGCCUCGUUGUGCUGAGGACUCUGCAGACAAAAUGAAGGCACAGUCCCUGCCUUGAAGCACAGCUCAGAGCAUCCUCAGGCAGCUUCUGUGCUGCAGUGGUGGAAUCUCCUCUUUAAUGGCACCAGGAAGAAGCAGCAGGAAAUGCAGAGUGAAAUUCUUCCACACAAGCUGCUGCCAGACCAUCGCCCACUGUGCCUGGAGAGUCCCUGCAUCCUCAGGUUGCAACUGAAGGAAAGCAACUCCAACUCUGCUCCUUUUGAAACCAGAAACCUGUUCCCUCAGUCCAGACAGGAUCUGAGCCUGGGCCAGCAGGAAUCUUUUACUGGCUGCUGCCUUUGUGCUUUGGAGCCCCGCAGAAGGGUUUGUCUCCCCAUCACGUGAGGCUGGAAUGAUGGGCUGAUGGUUAAGAAGCUGAGCUACGUUUCAGAAAGGAGGGGCUCUCAGCAAGCUCUUGCAGAACUUCCCAGUAGAGAAAAUCCCUGCACUGUGACAGUCCUGGGCAGUCCUGGUUUGAUGACAGCCAGGUCUGGUGGCUCCAGCAUGGGAACUUUUCCACUGGUGUUGAUAAUAACAAUGUGCUUCUCACUCCAUUCCCUGGGCUGCUCUAACAACUGCUUUGCAGUACCAAGCAUGGGAAGUUUCCUUUUAUGUAGAUAUUCCUGUAUGACUGUUACUGAAUAAAAGCAUUUUGAUAAUAGUUGAAACAGGGAUGGCUGAAAAGAUGUUUGAAGUGAGGGAGAGUUCAGAUGUUUUGGGUAAAAUUCACCUAACAGAGAAAGCUGAUAAUGUGUGAUGUAGUAACACAUUAAGAAAACAGGGAGACAAGUCUGCUACUCCUUCCCAGUAACCACUGGAGCUGCAGGAGGAGCUGGGAAGAAGGUUCUUUCUUUAAACAUUCUUUUUCUGUUGUACAAGAAAAGGUUGUUGCAUAUACCUGGCAUUUAAUUUUUUUUAAUACUCC
rnacentral:lncRNA from 1 species